GAUGAAGAACGCAGUGAAAUGCGAUAAGUAAUGUGAAUUGCAGAAUUCAGUGAAUCAUCGAAUCUUUGAACGCACAUUGCGCCCGCCAGUAUUCUGGCGGGCAUGCCUGUUCGAGCGUCAUUUCAACCAUCAAGCCCCCGGCUUGUGUUGGGGACCUGCGGCUGCCCGCAGGCCCUGAAAACCAGUGGCGGGCUCGCUAGUCACUCCGAGCGUAGUAAUACAUCUCGCUCAGGGCGUGCUGCGGGUUCCGGCCGUUAAAAAGCCUUAUUUACCCAAGGUUGACCUCGGAUCAGGUAGGAAGACCCGCUGAACUUAAGCAUAUCAAUAAGCGGAGGA
rnacentral:misc_RNA from 1 species